UUCAUUUCAAAUUUUUAGAUUGGGUCAUGGAGAUCCUAGUCAAGAAUAUACCAGUCCUACAUGUGUUACAUAUUUUGAGACAUUAAAAGUGAAAGUCAGUUCCGUUGCUUGUGGUGCUUUGCACACAAUAGUAUUAACAGAUUGUGGGGUUUUUGCAUGGGGGUCAUCACGAUUUGGUCAGUUGGGAAUAGGAAACGUGCAACGUUCAUGCCAUCCAGUAUUUGUUGAAACUUUAGCUAGA